CCGUUCUCAACAGUUGAGUUGAACGCAGGGUC
rnacentral:piRNA from 1 species